rnacentral:misc_RNA from 1 species
CCAAUAGCGUAUAUUAAAGUUGUUGCAGUUAAAAAGCUCGUAGUUGAAUUUCAGGCCUGGCUGGACGGUCCGCCCUUCGGGUGAGUACUGUCUGUGGUCGGGUCCUACCUUCUGGCGAAGCGUCAUGGCCUUAACCGGCCGUGGCGGGGAACCAGGACUUUUACUGUGAAAAAAUUAGAGUGUUCAAAGCAGGCAAAUCGCUUGGAUACAUUAGCAUGGAAUAAUGGAAUAGGACAAUGGUUCUUUUUGUUGGUUUCUAGGACCGUUGUAAUGAUUAAUAGGGAUAGUUGGGGGCAUUAGUAUUCAAUUGUCAGAGGUGAAAUUCUUGGAUUUAUUGAAGACUAACUACUGCGAAAGCAUUUGCCAAGGAUGUUUUCAUUAAUCAAGAACGAAAGUUAGGGGAUCGAAGACGAUCAGAUACCGUCGUAGUCUUAACCAUAAACUAUGCCGACUAGGAAUCGGGCGAUGUUGAAAAAAUGACGCGCUCGGCACCUCAUG